rnacentral:rRNA from 1 species
UAGCAUAAUCAUUAGUUUUUUAAUUGAAAACUUGUAUGAAUGGUUGGACAAAGAAAAAGCUGUCUCUUUCAUUAAAAUUGAAUUUAACUUCUAAGUGAAAAGGCUUAGAUAUUUUAGAGGGACGAUAAGACCCUAUAAAGCUUUAUAAAUUUAAAGAUUUUAUAUAUUUUUUAUUAUAAUGAUAAUUUCUCAAAAAUUUAUUGGGUUGGGGCAACAAAAGUAUAAUUAUCAAUAACUGCUAUAAAUUACUACAAUUAUUUUUGUUAUUAGAGAGUUGUUGAUCCUCGAAAGGGAUUAAAAGAUCAAGUUACUUUAGGGAUAACAGCGUAAUUUAUCUUGAGAGUUCUUAUCAAAGGAUAAGCUUGCGACCUC